UGGGGAAUAUUGGACAAUGGGGGAAACCCUGAUCCAGCAAUGCCGCGUGAAUGAAGAUGGCCUUAGGGUUGUAAAGUUCUUUCACCUGUGAAGAUAAUGACGGUAGCAGGAGAAGAAGCCCCGGCUAACUCCGUGCCAGCAGCCGCGGUAAGACGGAGGGGGCUAGCGUUGUUCGGAAUGACUGGGCGUAAAGGGUGCGUAGGCGGUUUUUAAGUGAGGCGUGAAAGCCCUGGGCUUAGCCCAGGAAUUGCGUUUCAGACUGGAAGGCUUGAGUACGAGAGAGGUAAGUGGAAUUCCUAGUGUAGAGGUGAAAUUCGUAGAUAUUAGGAAGAACACCAGUGGCGAAGGCGGCUUACUGGCUCGUAACUGACGCUGAGGCACGAAAGCGUGGGGAGCAAACAGGAUUAGAUACCCAGGUAGUCCCUGAGCGGGCUGGCAAGGCGCAU
rnacentral:rRNA from 1 species